GGUGAGGCCUGAGCACCGGAGGAAGGGGGGCCUGGGGGCCCCCUAAGGCCUCCAGGACCGGCUGCUGGCUGGGCUGCCUCCCCGCCACCCCGCCGCCCUCUGCGCAGCCAGGCUGAGCGCCGGGAGCAUCCUUCCAGCCACCUCACCUGGACUCACCGACCAGGCCUGAAGAGCCCGCUCGUCCAGGUGGGUGGAAGGCGACCUUGCACCCCCGCAGCCUGGAGAACAGCAGAUGGCACAGACUGUGUGGGUCACCAGUCUGAACACACAUGUUGCCAUGGCGCCCAGGAAUGCAGAAUCAGCCACUGCAGCCCUGCAUGGGGGCUCGGAGUCCCUGCCAGGUUUCUCAUCCACCGUGGAGCUGCUGGAGGGUUAACUGAGUUAAUACACGACAAGUGCGCAGCACGGACCCUGGCCCAUGGUAAGUGCCUAACAAAUGUUAGAUAUUAUUCUUGUUAUUACUAUUAUUAGGUUACGCCUGUGGGAGC